GAAAUGCGAUAAGUAGUGUGAAUUGCAGAAUUCAGUGAAUCAUCGAAUCUUUGAACGCACAUAGCGCCCCUUGGUACUCCAUGGGGCAUGCCUGUUCGAGCGUCAUUUGUACCUUCAAGCUCUGCUUGGUGUUGGGUGUUUGUCCCGCCUUUGUGCGUGGACUCGCCUUAAAGCAAUUGGCAGCCGACGUAUUGUUUCGGAGCGCAGCACAAAUUGCGCUUUGUAGCUAUUACGACAGCAUCCAUCAAGCCUUUUUUCACGCUUGACCUCGGAUCAGGUAGGGAUACCCGCUGAACUUAA
rnacentral:misc_RNA from 1 species